rnacentral:rRNA from 1 species
GUGGGGAAUAUUGCACAAUGGGGGAAACCCUGAUGCAGCGACGCCGCGUGAAGGAAGAAGUAUCUCGGUAUGUAAACUUCUAUCAGCAGGGAAGAAAACAGACGGUACCUGACUAAGAAGCCCCGGCUAACUACGUGCCAGCAGCCGCGGUAAUACGUAGGGGGCAAGCGUUAUCCGGAUUUACUGGGUGUAAAGGGGGCGCAGACGGCCAUGGCAAGCCCGGUGUGAAAGGCAGGGGCAUAACCCCUGGACUGCACUGGGAACUGUCAGGCUGGAGUGCCGGAGGGGUAAGCGGAAUUCCUGGUGUAGCGGUGAAAUGCGUAGAUAUCAGGAGGAACACCGGCGGCGAAGGCGGCUUACUGGACGGCAACUGACGUUGAGGCCCGAAAGCGUGGGGAGCGAACAGGAUUAGAAACCCUAGUAGUCC